GACAGAGGGUGCAAACGUUGUUCGGAAUUACUGGGCGUAAAGCGCGUGUAGGCGGCUCUGCAAGUCAGGUGUGAAAUCCCACGGCUCAACCAUGGAAGUGCACUUGAAACUGCAGGGCUAGAGUCCUGGAGAGGGAUGCGGAAUUCCAGGUGUAGCGGUGAAAUGCGUAGAUAUCUGGAGGAACACCGGUGGCGAAGGCGGCAUCCUGGACCGACACUGACGCUGAGGAGCGAAAGCCAGGGGAGCAAACGGG
rnacentral:rRNA from 1 species